rnacentral:rRNA from 1 species
CGGCCCUACGGGACGCAGCAGUGGGGAAUAUUGCACAAUGGGGGAAACCCUGAUGCAGCGACGCCGCGUGAGUGAAGAAGUAUUUCGGUAUGUAAAGCUCUAUCAGCAGGGAAGAAAAUGACGGUACCUGACUAAGAAGCCCCGGCUAACUACGUGCCAGCAGCCGCGGUAAUACGUAGGGGGCAAGCGUUAUCCGGAUUUACUGGGUGUAAAGGGAGCGUAGACGGUACGCCAAGUCUGAAGUGAAAUGCCGCAGCUUAACUGCGGAACUGCUUUGGAAACUGGCGGGCUGGAGUGCGGGAGGG